AUUGAACGCUGGCGGCAGGCCUAACACAUGCAAGUCGAGCGGGGUUUUCGGACCUAGCGGCGGACGGGUGAGUAUUGCGUAGGAAGCUGCCCGAUAGAGGGGGAUACCAGUUGGAAACGACUGUUAAUACCACAUAAUUUCUACGGACCAAAGUGUGGGACCUUCGGGCCACAUGCUAUCGGAUGCGCCUACGUGGGAUUAGCUAGUUGGUGAGGUAAUGGCUCACCAAGGCGACGAUCUCUAGCUGGUUUGAGAGGAUGAUCAGCCACACUGGAACUGAGACACGGUCCAGACUCCUACGGGAGGCAGCAGUGGGGAAUAUUGGACAAUGGGCGCAAGCCUGAUCCAGCCAUGCCGCGUGUGUGAAGAAGGCCUUCGGGUUGUAAAGCACUUUCAGCGAGGAGGAAGGGUGGUGUGUUAAUAGCACAUCAUUUUGACGUUACUCGCAGAAGAAGCACCGGCUAACUCUGUGCCAGCCGCCGCGGUAAUAC
rnacentral:rRNA from 1 species